ensembl:lncRNA
CAUUAUUGUGCUGAAACUUUUUACAUGAAUGUAGCAUAAAUUUGAUUUCUGAAAAUCCAGACUAAAAAUAACUGUUGAGAGAGUUAUUUUCAGAUCAAUUUGAAAUGCACUUACAUAUUACAGCUAAACUGACAUAUUAUAUGCCAAAAAAUGAUCUUCAUAACGUCUUGUCCAGCCUCAUUCAUUCAUUUUCUGGCAUCUAACCCUGAGACAAGGGAUCUAAAAAGACAGAUAGUGUAUUUUCUGGGAUCUUUGUCCAAAGCGUUAACAAUCAGAAAGGACAGAGAGCAGGAUGUAAGAGUCAAACAGGGAAAGGAGGGAAACUAAAAGUGGAACAACAGCUGUUAGAUACUAAGCAGAUUUUAAAGCAUAGUGAAUACUUCGACCAGCCUGAGACUGCAGAGAUCAGUGACAGAAGGACAAUGAGCAGUCAGAACUGGAAUCAUGAAGAAUUUCUGAGGUCCAAACUAAGCCCGUACCAUAUGAACCUGUGGGCACAGGAAAUGAACUACUAACCCUACAGAUCAAAGGUUUUUCUGGCUCUGAUAUGAAACAAUUUAUUCCUUGACGGCAAAGAGUAUAUUCAAGAGUCAUUUGUAUUUAGAAGACUUAAUACAAAAAUGACACAACAAAGUUUUGUGUUCAUACCAGUUCUGAUAGAGGAAAACGAUUAAAUAAAUUCCUAGUACAAGCGAUUUUCAUUCAGUUGAGGCUCCGGAGAAGUAGGAGCUGCUUGCCAUGUAUGAACUAAUCUAUAACUAGAAGCCUGAGGAGAAUCAACUCAAUGCCUCCAGUGACUGCUCUUUCUGCGUCAGGUGGCAACACUGUCACUAAAUUAGAAGGAAGAAGCUCCAAGAAAUCCAGCUGAAACCCUGGAGUGCAUGUCAUCAGGCCAUGUAGACUUGUACACAUUCCACCAUUCAUGAGGUGGUCUUGAACUUACUCUUUGCUUGCAGUAUGAAGGAUUUUGCUCCCCCACUCAUAACCUAGAGGUUCGAGGACAAAAGAGAUAUCCCACUCACCAACCAGGAAGAUCAAAGAGAAUACAACCUGUAUUCCUGAUCCCUUCAACAUCUUCCCAAGGAAUAUAAAGACUCUUCUAAUAUUCUUCAAUAUCUUUGUUGAAGUCUUCUAUGACUCAACUUGAAAGAAGAGGAGUGGAGGGUAGUCCUUGGGUUUUAUAACUGAAAACAAAUAGAUAAAUAAUUAAGAAAGAAAGAAAUUAAAGAGUCAGUAGAUGGAUGAUUAAUCUGAUAGACGAUUAAUGAAAAAAACUAUCAUCUACCCUUUUUUUUACCCAAUACCAGUACUUGCAUGCAUUAUUUUAAUAUUAUUUUUUACACACAAAUCUGGGGUAAUGAAGAGAUAUAUGUUGAAAUCCAUUUGACACUUUUAAUGCACCUGAAGAGCAGUUUGUUUACAGUGGGGAGAAAUAAGCUGAUAUAUCAGAACUAGUGUUUACUAGUUUGGUCAAGGUGAAACUAUUCAGAAGUAUAUGAGAAAAUAUUGCAGUGGUAAUGAAAGGAGAGACUGAAAGAUGGAUAAUGUAACAUAAACUUUAAUUCAAAAAUAUAACUCUGAAUUACUUUCAAGGUUUUGAAGCUGCAAAUCUAGGUUCUUAUUCUCAGUAUAUUUAGGAAGAUUUUAAUACAUUCAUCAUCUCAGAAGUGUACAACAGCUACAGACUGUUGGAUUCUCAUGUCCAGAAUUUUCUCAGUGUUAAUAGGUUGGUGCCCUUGCCUAGUCAGCUGUGCUGCACUUAUAUGUGUAUGUGCACAUCUAUGUUUAACUUUUCUGUACGUGGUUUGGUUAAAAAUAACUGCAGCAGAAUGACUGAAAAAAGCAUUUAAAUUUACAAGUCCAAACAAAAGAAUAAAAGAUGGAUAUUAACUGCUACAGGAAUGAUAUAUGCAUUCUUACAAAACUGUACUUUAUUACUGAUAUGGCUUUGCAUAGGGCAUUAAAUAGAACUUUAUAGAAAUGAGAAAUGCAAGUACUUAAAAAGUAAAUUAAAAAACCUAAAGAGAUUUCUGAUUCAUCACACUAUGUCCUGUUGUGUUUUUUCACUGUUGAUAAGCAAGCUGAUAACACAUUUUCUUUUCUGUUUUUGUGUUUUUUUUUUUCUUUACCCAUGUCAAAUAAAAAUAAAAUGGUUCUUCAGAUUUUCGAAAAAAAAAUACUGUAAUUACAGCAGAGGAAAACAUCAUGUUCUUUCAGCUUUCAAUAUUUUUUGAAAUGAUUAUCAUUCCAAAAUGUUGUUUUUUUAUGUGUUUAAUAUUUAUUUUCUGUAACAAAGGGCAUACUUUAUCAGGGACUAAUGGAAAUGACACUAAAGAUUAUAAAAAGAAAAUCAGAUUAUUUUCUCAGUAUCUGCAUGUUGUAUUGGAAGUAUUAAUCAUUGAGCAAUACAGAAAAUUUAGCAAAAUUUCUGGCAUGAAAGGCUACAAAUGGCAAUUACCACUGAUAAUCUCUAUAAAGCUUUAUUACCAGUAUAUAUAUGUGAGCAUACAAAAAGAUCACAAGAAGGAAGCUCAAUGCACAGCAGAGAGAGAAGACCAGAUGUCAGUUUUAAUCACAUUAAAACUUAUGCAGCCUUCAGAAAUGGUAGUAAUCUCAAUUUCCCUUCUUGCAAAAAGUUCCACUGGAUAGCAUUUUUAUGAGAGUUACUUUCAAUUAUAGCUUUAGAUAGAAAUUCUGGGUGUUAUAAUUUGCCUUUUUGACACAUCUGCUCAAUUAUGAGUUCUUUGUUUGUACUUGAUCUCUGCUCUCUAGGUAAUAGUUUGUUCUGGUAAAUCCUACUGAUAAUACAUGAACAACAAAUUAAGUCCUGGAUGUAGUAAGUACUACCUUUUUUUUUUUUUUUUUUUUUUUUUCUUUUCUUCCUUUUUUUUCUUUCUUAAUCAAUAGAUUCUUACAUAAAUAUUAUGGUUUUAUGAAUUUGGUUAUUGGUACUCCACAUCAUAACAUCAUGUAGUGCACUAGGAGUUAAUUCCUUGUUUAAAAAGAAAAUAAACAACAAGAAUUCUAAAAGAUUUUAAAGUUAUUUUUGUUUUAAUUAUUAUUUUUAUUUUAAUAAAACUGUAGUAAAAUCUUUCCCAACCCAGUGUUUCACAGUAUAGUUACCUCUUACUACAUGGAGCGUCACAAUUCUUUGGCCUUUUGGUAGUCACUUGAUCACAGACUUAAGUUAAAUGCUUAUGUAUCAUUCCUGAAUUUGCCUUCAUGUUAUUGUAAAAUACAUACAUAUUUGUCUUACAGUAUGUACAAUUAUAGUGGGUUUUGCUCUAUUUUAGUAUGCUUCUGUUGGGCUCAAGGCAAGCCAAUAUUGUGCCCCGAUUAUUGCAUUCCUAAUUUAAAAUGCUAUGGGCCUCUACUUUCACUAAAGUACACUCUUAAAAAGUAGUAAUGUUUCUUACAGAAUGAUACCUGUUAUAAAUAUAGUAACUAAGCAUUAACUUGGUCUUGAAAAUGUGAGACAUACCAAAAAUAAAUUGCAAUAAAUUUGAAUCAUUUUUAAGAGCUGCCAAAAAGCAUAAAUGUCACAACAUCAUUUUCCCAUUAUAGUAAUUGAAUUUCUUACUUCAAGUGUCUUUGUAAUUGCACAGUUUUAAAUCACUGUGUUAAAAGCAAAAUCUUGGUUAGCAGGAAAUGGUUUUCUCAUGGAUCAUUGGAGGGAUCGAGACCCACCAGCUUGGAAAAGGGAGAUAAAAUGGGACAAUCAAACGUUAGCAGAAGCUGGUCGCAUUGAGCCUUUAGUUUGAUCACCACUAUCUGUUCUACAUUCUUAUUAAGUGUUUCUAACUGCCUUCUAUGAGAAUGCCCUCCCUGUUUCGUCCUCUGUGUGUGAAAUUCAUGUUGAACCAGCCAUUAAGAGAAGAGGUCUGAGUGCCAGCUAUUGGGUAGUGUCAUGCUCUAUGGUUGUGUUUGUGUGAAACUUCUGGAGAACUUAAAGCCAAUAACCUUCAUGUAUUUGGUCUAACUAUAACACAAGGGAAGGUGAAAUAUAAUGUAGCGAACAAAAACUUAAGUACGAUUCAGGACAAUAUAUAUAUAUAUAUAUUUUUUUUCCAUUUCCUUGUGGUAACUUCUACAGGGAAAAAAUACUUUCUUGAUAAAUUCUGAACAUUUCCUACUCUAUGAAAUAAAUAUCUUUGAAAGUUUGAAAUUUCUAGUGACUGUCUAAAAAAGGCGUAUUUUGAUUCUUUCUGUAAAUAAACAAUGAGUGAAGUGCAUACUACCAUACUGAGAUUAAUGACAAUUCCUAUCAACUUCCUUUGCAUUAGAAUAUUCCUUCAAACAUUUGUACAAAAGUCUGGUCUAGGCAUUAAGAAAACAUAUGUGAAAAGAAUGUGUUUCUUCAAGUUCAACUAAUUAUGUCAAAUCUACAUUUAUACUAUAGAUUUGGAGAGUAGUGUAUAUAUAUUAUAAAUUCUACAUAUGUGUUGCAUUAAUGCACAAUCCUAAAAAAAAAUGUUGAAUUAUCUAUUUUUGUACAAAUAUAGUAUGGUCAGAAAAUUCUGUUUGCAAUAAUCACAUUGGCAUUGAGAACUGAAUAAAAUACAUAUUUAUAGGUAGAUUAAAAGAAAACUAUCUUCUCCAACCAAAAGUAAAUUUUACCACUAAUGAUAUAACAAAAACACACUUUUUUUUUUUUUUUUUUUUUGUUUAAGAGAAAAAUAUUUUAAAAAUGCUGGUAGUUACAGCUAUGAAACUGCUAUAUACUACAUGAAAUCAUAGUUAGAGCCAGAUGACUAUAAAGCCUCCACACCAUUUAACUACAAGUGUUUAGGAAAAAAGGUGGUUUCAGUUAGUUCAUUAGAUACAACAGUGCAGUUCUUUUCCAAUAGGCAGACCAAAAGAUUAUUAUUCACUACUAAAAUAAUGUUUAUCAAAAAAUGUUAAUGUUUCACAUAGUUUUUUUUUUUUUUUUUUUUUAAUAAUAUCAGACUCUUUUUAAAUAUUGAGGACAAAUUGUUUUCUUGAUAGAAAGCUAAAUGCUUUAGAUCUCUUUCUAUGAGGGCUUAUCUGAAAAUAAUGUUUCCUAUGUUAUUAGGUUGGCUCACAGAGUCAGAGGCAAAUGCUUAUGGUAUAAAGAAUGUUGAACCUUCCUGCCAAUAUUCCAUUAAAUUUGCUUGCCCUGCAACAGAUAGCAGCAGAGGCUCAGUCUAACAAAAUGGCAUCUAACAUGGAAGUGCAUAUAAAGCAAUAGGUAUGCAAUUGAAUUCCUUCGUGUAGAAAAAAAAUGUCAACCAUUCACAUUCAUUGGCACUUACUGAACAUUUAUGGAGGCCAAACAGUGGAUGUAAGCAUAAUUGAGGUGGUGGGUGUUUCCACACUGAUGACAGUGAUAUGAAGACAAGGCACAUUCUGGACCGCCAUGCAGAUUUUUGUACGUGCUGCAUGCUGGCUCUUUUUCAUCGCUGGUGAAAAUUCAUAGCUAAUGGUGGUGGCUAUGUUGAAAAAUAGUGUUUUAUAGCCAAGAGGUUCGUCUAUCAAAUAGUGUUCUUGCACUCUUUGUAUCUGUUACAGUUUCCAUGGUAAUAAAUAGGAGGCAUUACUUACAGAACAACCUAGGUAAGAUGGAAAAAAAAAAGAUAUGUUGGCAUUCACAUUAACUGUAUCCUGUCAUAUGUGGUCAUUAAAAUUAAUUUUUAUGUUUUCAAAAGUUAAUAUGAAUAGAAUGUAUUGCUGUUGAUUUCUUAACUACUAAUGGUCUUAUUCCAAAGGGAUAUUUCAAUUACUUUCUUCCUUUGUAUUUUUUCCUAAAUAUAAUAGGAGUUCACAUUUGUUUCUCUGAGUGUAUAAUCAAAUCAAACGUUUAGAAAUAUGGCUGACUCAGGACUUUAAUAUAUUACAGCUCAAAUAAAUAACACAUGUACAGUUUUGUGUAAUUUUAAAAGCUGUGUGAAGAUGAGUGUGUUUUCAUUUGUCUGCUCCAGCAACAAAAUUCCUACAGAAUACAAUUUCAUCUCUGGCAGUAAAACAUGUAUUUUCAAAUGAAAGGACUCUUAGAUGUAUGUAAAGAACAAAUAGUCAAUUUGUUUCAAUCAACACCUCUUUGAAUAAAUAAAAUACAAAAAUUACUCAUAAUGUUGGUAAAGGAUUUGUAUAUUAAUUUUGUGUAUAUGUAUAUGUUCUUUGUGUUG